CAUCCAAAAUCCAUUCUAACUCCAAAUCUCAUGAUUCAAAUUUCUGCAGGUCUCUAAAAUGAAGAUCUAUACAAAUAUUGACUUUGCACAUUUUUCCAAACAACUUUCAUAAUGUAUUUAUAUUUAAAUACAGAUUUGGGAUUCUUCUAGCUUCCCUUUCAAAAAUCACAUAGGCUUCAGAUCAACUCCAAUUGGAGUGAUUCAAAUUUCCACAGCCUUCUUAUAUCAUGUACAAAUUUUAGAGCCUUGGUCAACAUUUUUAUGAAGCUUCAUUCUGUUGCUUAUAAUAAAUAGCUUCCUAUUGCUAUUUAUUCCAC
rnacentral:lncRNA from 1 species